AACGAACGCUGGCGGCAUGCCUAACACAUGCAAGUCGAACGAGACCUUCGGGUCUAGUGGCGCACGGGUGCGUAACGCGUGGGAACCUGCCCUUAGGUUCGGAAUAACUCCCCGAAAGGGGUGCUAAUACCGGAUAAUGUCUGCGGACCAAAGAUUUAUCGCCUUUGGAUGGGCCCGCGUUGGAUUAGCUAGUUGGUAGGGUAAAAGCCUACCAAGGCGACGAUCCAUAGCUGGUCUGAGAGGAUGAUCAGCCACACUGGGACUGAGACACGGCCCAGACUCCUACGGGAGGCAGCAGUGGGGAAUAUUGGACAAGGGGCGAAAGCCUGAUCCAGCAAUGCCGCGUGAGUGAUGAAGGCCUUAGGGUUGUAAAGCUCUUUUACCCGGGAUGAUAAUGACAGUACCGGGAGAAUAAGCUCCGGCUAACUCCG
rnacentral:rRNA from 1 species